rnacentral:rRNA from 1 species
AAGUCGAACGCAGUAGCAAUACUGAGUGGCAAACGGGUGAGUAUAAUGUGGGAAUCUGCCUUUUGGUUUGGAAUAACACGGGGAAACUUGUGCUAAUGCCGAAUAAGCCCUUACGGGGAAAGUUUUAAUGCCGAAAGAUGAGCCCGCACUUGAUUAGCUAGUUGGUAAGGUAAAAGCUUACCAAGGCAACGAUCAAUAGCUGUUCUUAGAGGAAGACCAGCCACAUUGGGACUGAGACACGGCCCAGACUCCUACGGGAGGCAGCAGUGGGGAAUCUUGCACAAUGGGGGAAACCCUGAUGCAGCGAUGCCGCGUGAGUGAAGAAGGCCUUUGGGUUGUAAAACUCUUUCGUCGGGGAAGAAAAUGACUGUACCCGAAUAAGAAGGUCCGGCUAACUUCGUGCCAGCAGCCGCGGUAAUACGAAGGGACCUAGCGUAGUUCGGAAUUACUGGGCUUAAAGAGCUCGUAGGUGGUUAAAAAAGUUGAUGGUGAAAUCCCAAGGCUUAACCUUGGAAACUGCCAUCAAAACUUUUUAGCUAGAGUGUGAUAGAGGUAAGUGGAAUUUCUAGUGUAGAGGUGAAUUCGUAGAUAUUAGAAAGAACACCAAAUGCGAAGGCAACUUACUGGGUCCACUACUGACACUGAGGGAGCGAAAAGCAUGGGUAGCGAA